UACGAAGGGGGGCUAGCGUUGCUCGGAAUCACUGGGCGUAAAGCGCACGUAGGCGGCUUUCUAAGUCAGGGGGUGAAAUCCUGGAGCUCAACUCCAGAACUGCCUUUGAUACUGGGAAGCUCGAGUCCGGAAGAGGUAAGUGGAACUCCGAGUGUAGAGGUGAAAUUCGUAGAUAUUCGGAAGAACACCAGUGGCGAAGGCGGCUUACUGGUCCGGUACUGACGCUGAGGUGCGAAAGCGUGGAGAGCAAACAGG
rnacentral:rRNA from 1 species